rnacentral:rRNA from 1 species
GACGAACGCUGGCGGCGUGCUUAACACAUGCAAGUCGAACGGAAAGGCCCUGCUUUUGUGGGGUUCUCGAUUGGCGAACGGGUGAGUAACACGUGAGUAACCUGCCCUUGACUUUGGGAUAACUUCAGGAAACUGCGGCUCAUACCGGAUAGGAUCUCCUGCUGCAUGGUGGGGGUUGGAAAGUUUCGGCGGUUGUGGAUGGUCUCGCGGCUUAUCCGCUUGUUUGUGGAGUUGUUGCUUUCAAAGGGUUUGAAGGGUAGCCGGCCUGAGAGGGUUGCCGGCGACAUUGGGACUGAGAUAGGGACCAGACUGCUACGGGAGGCAGCAGUGGGGAAUAUUGCACAAUGGGCGGAAGCGUGAUGCAGAAACGCUGCGUGCGGGAUGACGGCUUUCGGGGUGUAAACAGCUGUCGAAUGUGACGAAGAGUGAGUGACGGUAAUGGGUAAAGAAGCACCGGCUAACUACGUG